rnacentral:rRNA from 1 species
GUCAAACGCAGCGGCCGCGUCAGACGUGUAUAAGAAUCAGCAAUAGACCCGAAACACGGUGAUCUAGCAAUGGGCAGGUUGAAGGUUGGGUAACAAUAACUGGAGGACCGAACCGACUAAUGUUGAAAAAUUAGCGGAUGACUUGUGGCUGGGGGUGAAAGGCCAAUCAAACCAGGAGAUAGCUGGUUCUGCCCGAAAGCUAUUUAGGUAGAGCCUCGUGAACUCAACUUCGGGGGUAGAGCACC